GAAGCGGCCACACCCGGCUGGCAACAUCCAGCUCCACUCCGAACCUGGAAAUUAAGCAGUCGCGGGCCACAUCAGUACUGGGCUGGGCGACUUCCCGGGAACGUGCGGUGCUUGCUUCUUUUUCCUUUUUGCGCGGUGCAGGGCUAUUGCCCUGCACCAAUACUACACUCUACACCUAUGUUUGUCCCUGCUAAAACUCUUAUAUGUUGAGAUAUUUUAUAAUUUUAUAUUUUUUAUUAAAAAAU